GUGGGGAAUAUUGCGCAAUGGGCGAAAGCCUGACGCAGCAACGCCGUGUGAGGGAUGAAGGCUUUCGGGUCGUAAACCUCUGUCAGAAGGGAAGAACGGGCAUUGGUCUAAUAGGCCUUUGUUUUGACGGUACCUUCAGAGGAAGCACCGGCUAACUCCGUGCCAGCAGCCGCGGUAAUACGGAGGGUGCAAGCGUUAUUCGGAAUUACUGGGCGUAAAGCGCACGUAGGCCGCUUUGUAAGUCAGGGGUGAAAUCCCACGGCUCAACCGUGGAACUGCCCUUGAAACUGCGAAGCUUGAAUCCUGGAGAGGGUGGCGGAAUUCCUGGUGUAGGAGUGAAAUCCGUAGAUAUCAGGAGGAACACCGGUGGCGAAGGCGGCCACCUGGACAGGUAUUGACGCUGAGGUGCGAAAGUGUGGGGAGCAAACAGGAUUAGAUACCCUAGUAGUCC
rnacentral:rRNA from 1 species